AUUGAACGCUGGCGGCAUGCCUUACACAUGCAAGUCGAACGGUAACGGGCCUUCGGGUGCCGACGAGUGGCGAACGGGUGAGUAAUGUAUCGGAACGUACCUUUCAGUGGGGGAUAACGUAGCGAAAGUUACGCUAAUACCGCAUAUUCUGUGAGCAGGAAAGCAGGGGAUCGCAAGACCUUGCGCUGAUUGAGCGGCCGAUAUCAGAUUAGCUAGUUGGUGAGGUAAAGGCUCAUCAAGGCGACGAUCUGUAGCGGGUCUGAGGGGAUGAUCGGCCACGCUGGAACUGAGACACGGUCCAGACUCCUACGGGAGGCAGCAGUGGGGAAUUUUGGACAAUGGGGGCAACCCUGAUCCAGCCAUGCCGCGUGAGUGAAGAAGGCCGUCGGGUUGUAAAGCUCUUUCAGCCGGGAAGAAAUCGUAUCAGCUAAUACCUGGUGCGGAUGACGGUACCGGCAUAAGAAGCACCGGCUAACUACGUGCCAGCAGCCGCAGUAACAC
rnacentral:rRNA from 1 species